CGGAUUCAUAUCUAUAAAACCUAUAGAAUUUCAUAUAAAGGCGCGAUGGCUUCGAUCUGGCGACAUUGGCGACUGACCUGAAGCGCGCGGGAGUGGGAUGAUGGAUGGAAGGAGGGACUAGGCGGGCGCAGGCGGCGAGGCAGAGUGCGCGGCUUUCCAACUUUGGCAACGGCGCCAUUUCUUGGUACGGAAGCUUCAAACUUGCCCUUGGGCUCCCCGGGAGACGUUUGCAAGGAUGUGCGGCGAAAGCCAAAAGCCUCACAGCAAUGCUGACAUGGGCCGUCUUGGUACUCGCAGACUCCAGAUCAAGAUCCAAAAUUAAUGGCCGCUACAAGGUUACAAUGGUUUCUGGCAAUUGCGGUUAUGCCAUUAUUUAUAAUAAUAUAGGAAAAAGAUAAAUCGUUUAGAAUUACAGCAGUCUGUUAUAAUAAAAAUACGGCCAUUAUUUAUAUUUGUACAUUUUUAAAUAAAUAAAUACUUUUCAAGACUCAAAAUUUUAUGCCAAAUAUCUCUUCAAGGGAGAAUGUGCGUAAAAGAGUUGAUUAAGGGCCUGCCUGUAUGUCUAAAUAAAUUAUCGGCAAAACAUAUAGUCGUGGAAAAAGCUAAGUAGCUAGCAAUUUUUUCAAAAAGUUUUUAAAAUUUUUGAGAUUUCAUGAAACCUAUUAUUCCUAAAAAAAUAUCUUCUACAUAAAAAUAUUAUCCAAAAAUAAUGGGAUCGAAACUUUCAUUGGCUGCUCAUGAUCUUCGUUACUUAUUUCAUGCAACAACCUAAGACCUCACCCAAAAAGGCUAACUGGAUGGUAUUAUUUGGAUUUCUUGAUCUUAGUAUAAAUACCCAAGAUCUUCUCGGCGAAUAACCAACCUUCCAUUUUUAGCAAAAUAAAUAACCAAGCUUCCGUUCAAGCCCUAACGUCUACAUCAGGCUAAGAGUUCAAAUCCAUUCAAAUCUAAUCACAAGCACUGCGAUCGGCCCGUAGUCUGCCUUUAUGAACCCGUACUGCAAUAUCUUCUAGUCUACAUAGGCUAUGGGCCGAAUUCGCUCUGAUAUAAUUUGUAGCAAUCAAAGACCUCACCUAGAAAGGCUAGCUAGAAGGUAUUAUUUGAAUUCCUUGAUCUAAGUAUUCAAGAUUUUGUCGGCGAAUAACCGAUGUGGAACAAGAUUAGCAAAAAUAGAGCAAGUAUAGUUAUGUGAAGGUAUAUGUAACAUAAUUAUAGCUGGUUGGAUAAAAUGGAAAGGCUCAUCUAGAAUAUUAUGUGGUAGACAAAUACCUUGGAGAUUUAAGGAAAAAAUUUAUAUAACAACUGUAAGACCUGCUGUAUUAUAUGGCUCAAAGUAUUGGGCAAUAAGAAAGUACACAAAAACAAGUUGAAUGUAGUAGAAUGAGAAUGUUAAGAUGGACAUGAGGUAAAACUAGAAAGGGUCAAAUAAUUAGUAGAGUUGGAGGAGUUAGACAAAUUAAGGAUGGAAAAUAGUUUAAGAUGGUAUGAUCAUGAUCUGAAGAAACUCCAGUAAGAAGUACUUUGGUUUUUGUUGAAGGUGGUGGAAAAAAAAGGAGGGAAAGACCUAAUAUAACAUGGUUGUAAGUUGUAAAACGGAUAUGAAUGAACUUGGAAUAACAUCAGAGAUGUCCCUAAUAGAAAUACUUGGCGAAUGAGGAUCCGUAAGGUCGAUCCUGGAUAGUUGGGAAAAGGCUUAACAAUUAUGGUUAUAUGAAGUAUAAUUAUGUGAAUUCUUUCUUCAUUUUACAAUUUUUUGUGAGCUGAGGUUUUGAUCGGUCCCUUAACUGGGAAAAAUUCCAUGAGAUCUCAACGCCAGGCCACAACAAUCGCUGUCCUUUGUCAUCAAUUUAAGCCAACUUCAAGUGAGAGAUAAAUUAGGAUACCCAUGCGAAAACAAUAUAGUUGGAAAGCAAAAAGGCAAGCAGGAUGCAACAUUAAACAGGAAAGAUAAGUAGGGUAAUCAAUUAAAAUACAAGGAGGUUCUUUUGCACUAGUUUCAGGACCUACAUUAUCCAUUAAGGUAUGAAGCACUAGAAUGCAAUUGGACAGAACACUACCGAUCAAAACAUAAAUUCUUCAUUUUCAGACCUUAUUUUCUUAUAUACCAGAAAGAAGAACAGACCACUGAUUCAAACAUAAUCAAUCAAUUCAGCCACAUCCUUCAUUCCCUUGAAGACAGAAGAGAAAAUAGUGUCAUUUCAUGGUGUGAGGGCAUAUAUUUGUACAGUGGGACAAUUCCUAAAUGGGAAGAAACAAAAGAGCAUCUGGAUCAUCAUUCUAUCCAAGCAAACUUAAAUACUCCCUCAUGCAUUUUGUCGAACACUCUCCAUGCACAAUAAAAAUUUACCAAACUAUUACACUGCUUCACAAGAAAGUCUUCGUUAGCAAUCAUAAUUAUGAGAGUAAUAGCAUCACCUAGAAAUGACAUAGAUAUAUUUCAAAAAAAAUAAUAAUAAUUCACAUAACGGAUUCAUAUCUAUAAAACCUAUAGAAUUUCAUAUAAAGGCGCGAUGGCUUCGAUCUGGCGACAUUGGCGACUGACCUGAAGCGCGCGGGAGUGGGAUGACGGAUGGAAGGAGGGACCAGGCAGGCGCAGGCGGCGAGGCAGAGUGCGUGGCUUUCCUGCUUUGGCAACGGCGCCAUUUCUUGGCACGGAGGCUUCAAUCUUGCCCCUGGGCUCCCCGGGAGACGUUUGCAAGGUUGUGCGACGAAAGCCAAAAGCCUCACAGCAAUGCUGACGUGGGCCAUCUUGGUACUCGCAGACUCCAGAUCAAGAUCCAAAA
rnacentral:lncRNA from 1 species